rnacentral:lncRNA from 1 species
UAUUGGUGUACUACGGCUUUAUUUAAAAUUGCAUCAAUUGAAAUCUUUGCACUGCUGUUAACAUGAUAAUUUUAGCCUUAAACGCCACUUCAUCAAAACCAUUGAUCAAAUUGACAUCAGUGACCGAAUUGACUUCCAUCGUGACGCACUUAAAUUGAUUAGAGAAUUUGACUAGUGUGUUGACCCUUGCUUUGCUAUUUUACAUGUACCAACAGUAUUAGCUUGCUUUGGAUUUAUUUAAUCCCAAUAUUUAAAAUUAAAUUAAAAAAAAAAAGGUUCAAGUUAUUUUCCAUUGCUUGCACUUAUUUUUCCAUUGAUUUCUCUAUUGCACGUCAUUUAGCUGCUAAUACAAUGCAUACAUAGUGGUCAACCGGUUGUCUUGUCACUCUAGUUUCAGUACCUAGACCAUGGAUCCAUCCCCAUUUGAUGCACUCACUAGACAAUUAGUGCAACUUGCGACUAGCCUAUCGACUAUCCAAUCAGAUAUAAUUGCUACUCGUGAAGAGAGAAAGAAACUAGCUGAUAAGUUGAGCAAUUUUAAGCAAACCCCUCGUUUGAUUGACACUAAUUCUGAAGCGUCUCAUAAUAGACAAUAUCAUCGUAGACAAAGUGAUCAAAAAAAAUUUCGACACGAUCGU